rnacentral:miRNA from 1 species
UUGGCCUGGUGGUCUGCCCCUCA